rnacentral:rRNA from 1 species
GUCUACAGCCAUACCACCCUGAACGUGCCCGAUCUCAUCUGAUCUCGGAAGCUAAGCAAGGUCGGACGUGGUUAAUACUUGGAUGGGAGACCACCUAGGAAUAUCGGGUGCUGUAGGUU